UUCCUCCCGCCCAGGAUUUGUCCUCGCUCGCAGCAAGUCAGCCAGCGCGAGCGAGAAGUAAAAACACCACAUGCAAACGCGAGAAAUUACUUUACCGAAAUCAAGACCCAGAAGUAAGAUAGACCUCACACUCGCAUUGUAUAUUUUAGGAUUUGUAUUUAGUACAAACAAACGUUUUUCUUCCCAGUUUGCACCCAUCGAUCCCUUUUCGCGGCGUUGUCUUUCGCGUGUGCCUGUGAUUUUGUUUCCUCUCUCUCGGCGAAAACGAUGAUGAUGAUUUUUCCUCUCUCUCAGCGAAAACGAUGAUGAUGAUUUUUCCUCUCUCUCGGCGGAAACGAUGAUGAUGAUUUUUCCUCUCUCUCGGCGAAAACGAUGAUGAUGAUUUGCGAGCGAGGAAAAAAACCGCAUGCAAGCGCGAGAGAACAAAUCACCGCGGGGGAAAGAAAAUCGCAUGCAAACGCGAGAGGUGAUACUGACCGCUGACGUCACGCCCCCUCAGACGUGAACAGGAUUGCUUCAGCCACUGGUCUGCUACAACAUGCAACACUCAGAUGGAGCACCUUCAUGGGAAAAGAAGCAGAACUUGGUCCAUGAGAGAGUAAACGGGGAGAAACCAGACCUGGUCCCAGCCAACAGUACAUGGAUUGUAACCAGCUUUGCAAAUUUUAGAAACACUUGUAACAUUUCUGAGAUUUUAUUGGCAAGAUAAAAAUUCAAAAUGUAUGUCAUUUCAGCCGGCAUCAUUUUUUGUACAUACAGAAAUGCAAUAAGAUUGUGAGGCAUGUGUAACGUUUCAAGUAUUUAUUAAAGCUGUCAAGAAGA